AGAGUUUGAUCCUGGCUCAGAGUGAACGCUGGCGGCGUGCUUAACACAUGCAAGUCGAACGGAUACGCAAAAGGGGCAACUCUUUUGUUUAUGAGUGGCAGACGGGUGAGUAACACGUAAGAAAUCUACCCUUGAAAUGGGAAUAACCUGCCGAAAGGCGAGCUAAUACCCAAUAACGCUCUCUGACUGCGGUCAGAAAGUUAAAGACUUCCGCAAGGAAGUCGUUUGAGGAUGAUCUUGCGGCCUAUCAGCUAGUUGGUGAGGUAACGGCUCACCAAGGCUACGACGGGUAACCGACCUGAAAGGGUGAUCGGUCACAAUGGCACUGAGACACGGGCCAUACUCCUACGGGAGGCAGCAGUGAGGAAUUUUGGACAAUGGGGGAAACCCUGAUCCAGCGACGCCGCGUGGAGGACUGAAGGUCUUCGGAUUGUAAACUCCUUUUGGAGGGGACGAAUCUCUCGCCUCGUGCGAGAUUGACUGUACCCUCAGAAAAAGUCACGGCUAACUACGUGCCAGCAGCCGCGGUAAUACGUAGGUGGCUAGCGUUACUCGGAAUUACUAGGCGUAAAGCGCAUGCAGGCGGUCAGAUAAGUCAAUUGUGAAAGCCCCUGGCUUAACUAGGGGAGGUCGGUUGAAACUAUCUAACUUGAGUGUGAGAGAGGAAACUGGAAUUCCCGGUGUAGCGGUGAAAUGCGUAGAUAUCGGGAGGAAUACCAAUGGCGAAGGCAGGUUUCUGGAUCAAUACUGACGCUGAGAUGCGAAAGCUAGGGGAGCAAACAGGAUUAGAUACCCUGGUAGUCCUAGCUGUAAACGAUGUUCACUGGGUGUGGGUGGUAUCGACCCCUUCCGCGCCGAAGCUAACGCAUUAAGUGAACCGCCUGGGGAGUACGGCCGCAAGGUUGAAACUCAAAGGAAUUGACGGGGGCCCGCACAAGCGGUGGAGCAUGUGGUUCAAUUCGACCAACGCGAAGAACCUUACCUGGGCUUGAACCGCAGGUGGUAAAAACCCGAAAGGGUAAUGACCCGCAAGGGAGCCUGUAGAGGUGCUGCAUGGUUGUCGUCAGCUCGUGUCGUGAGAUGUUGGGUUAAGUCCCGCAACGAGCGCAACCCUUAUCCUAUGUUGCCACUCCGAGCAAUCGGAAGCACUCUUAGGAAACUGCCCCGGAUAACGGGGAGGAAGGUGGGGACGACGUCAAAUCAUCAUGGCCCUUAUGUCCAGGGCUACACACGUGCUACAAUGGCCGGUACAGAGGGAAGCAAAACAGCAAUGUCGAGCAAACCCCACAAAGCCGGCCCCAGUUCGGAUUGUGGGCUGCAAUUCGCCCACAUGAAGUCGGAAUCGCUAGUAAUCGCAGAUCAGCAGGCUGCGGUGAAUACGUUCCCGGGCCUUGUACACACCGCCCGUCACACCACGAAAGCUCGCUGCAACAGAAGUCGGUGUUCUAACUCGCAAGAGAGGUAGCCGCCCAAGUUGUGGUUAGUGAUUGGGGUGAAGUCGUAACAAGGUA
rnacentral:rRNA from 1 species